rnacentral:lncRNA from 1 species
UGGGAGAGAGAGGCAAUUGAAUGAGAACCGAGUUAAGGUAGUUGAUGAGGGAAUAAUAAUAAACCGAGGGUUAGGAAACCGGAUGGACCGGUUGGGGUUCGGGUAAGCCGGUUGAUUUAAAUAAUAGUUUGAGUUUAGGGACCGGUGGCCGGGGUUUUCUUUUUGAACCGAAAAUUUUGCUUCUGGUUCGAGACGAAUAAUAUAUAUUUUUUAAUUUAUUUUCUUUUAGUUUCC